rnacentral:rRNA from 1 species
GACGUAGGGUCCGAGCGUUGUCCGGAGUUACUGGGCGUAAAGGGCGCGUAGGCGGCUUUGUGCGUCACACGUGAAAGCCCCUGGCUUAACCAGGGAGGGUCGUGUGAAACGGCGAAGCUGGAGGCAGAGAGAGGCUGGUGGAAUUCCUGGUGUAGCGGUGAAAUGCGCAGAUAUCAGGAGGAACACCGGUGGCGAAGGCGGGUCUCUGGGCCGAUACUGACGCUGAGGAGCGAAAGCGUGGGGAGCGAACAGG